rnacentral:rRNA from 1 species
UACGUAGGGCGCAAGCGUUGUCCGGAAUUAUUGGGCGUAAAGAGCUCGUAGGCGGUUUGUCGCGUCUGCUGUGAAAACCUAAGGCUCAACCUUGGGCUUGCAGUGGGUACGGGCAGACUAGAGUGCGGUAGGGGUGACUGGAAUUCCUGGUGUAGCGGUGGAAUGCGCAGAUAUCAGGAGGAACACCGAUGGCGAAGGCAGGUCUCUGGGCCACUACUGACGCUGAGAAGCGAAAGCAUGGGGAGCGAACGGG